AUUGAACGCUGGCGGCAGGCUUAACACAUGCAAGUCGAGCGGGGUGAUGGUGCUUGCACUAUCACUUAGCGGCGGACGGGUGAGUAAUGCUUAGGAAUCUGCCUAUUAGUGGGGGACAACAUCUCGAAAGGGAUGCUAAUACCGCAUACGUCCUACGCGAGAAAGCAGGGGAUCACUUGUGACCUUGCGCUAACAGAUGAGCGUCAGUCGGAUUAGCUAGUUGGUGGCGUAAAGGCCUACCAAGGCGACGAUCUGUAGCGGGUCUGAGAGGAUGAUCCGCCACACUGGGACUGAGACACGGCCCAGACUCCUACGGGAGGCAGCAGUGGGGAAUAUUGGACAAUGGGGGGAACCCUGAUCCAGCCAUGCCGCGUGUGUGAAGAAGGCCUUAUGGUUGUAAAGCACUUUAAGCGAGGAGGAGGCUCUUUUGGUUAAUACCCAAGAUGAGUGGACGUUACUCGCAGAAUAAGCACCGGCUAACUCUGUGCCAGCAGCCGCAGUAA
rnacentral:rRNA from 1 species